AACAGAUAUAUUAUGCCAACUUUUCUGAAAAUAAGUCACUUUUGAUUAUGAGCAAUUGUUGGCGACAUUCUUUGACUUACCUCAGUCACAGCUUUUGGAAAAGCAGACCAACAUCUUUGUCUGUGGAAAUUACAAAGAUAGGUUGUUUCUGUGACAUAGGAGGUUUCCUGUUUGAUGGGCUAGAACCUGGAAUCAUAUCCUAACAUCUUCUGGGCAACAUAGAUGAAAAUUCUUUUCUAACUGAAUUAACUGACCGCUGCCCCACAUCAAUGUAUAAAUGGACACUAAACUGUGUGGUGCUGCUACUGAAAUUGCUAGAGGUGUAUUCUAACUCAUGGGGGGUGGAAGGCGUGUUUGAGAAGAGCUGGGAUAGCCUGUAUAGCCCUAGGGAAAGGUUGAUUAUUGUUAUUUAUAGUGUUGUAGCACUUGAAGGCCUCAGUUAGGCUGGGGCCACAUUGUGCUAGGCACUGUAUAAACAUAUAGUAAAUGACAGACCCUGUAACAAAGACCUCACAGUCUAAAAGAAAACAUAACAAGUGUGUGAAACAAGCAAGCAGGUGCAGUACAGAAAUUAAGACAAACUGUCUCUUCUGCAUGUACUGUAUGUGGAGCCAUCACUCAACUCAGGAAGAUGCUUGCCUUUGGUGAACCAAGAGAACCCCAGUAUGUUGACCUUUAAGACACAUGGCCUGAGUGGUGGUGGAAGUGCAUGUGUGAGGAGUUGGGAUCAUGGCCAAAGCCAACAGAGGAGGCUCCCCUGCACUCUGACAAUCCGCAGAUGUCAUAUCAACUCUUUGGGACAGAUGUAAGCCAAUAAAUUGUAAAUUGCUCCACUUUAGCUAGUGUAAGUGGGACCAACCCUUAGGCUGCUCUAACAUACAUUGGGUGAAUGCUCCAUGACACAUCUUUACCAAGAUAAGACCAAGU